rnacentral:lncRNA from 1 species
CUAGGUUAAUAGUCAUGCGAUUCAAGUGACUUUUAAAAUAUAUAAUUACUGAAGCCAGAUAGAAUCUUAACAUUCUUGUGGGUUUAAAGGUGAAAUGUUUCAAAGGAUUGGGAAUGAACAUAUUAACAGAGAGGCUGUGAAGAAAAUGAAAGAGCUGACAGGGGCCAUAGAUCCUGACUUUCUACGGCUGAAUUCUGCUUUCAGCUCAUAAUAACUGUGGGCUCUUAGGCCUCAAUUCCCUCAUGUGUGAAAUGGAACUGUGAUUGGUAACCACCUCUUCAGAGUGUUGAGUGCUGAAUGAGAUAAUUAUCUUAAAAGUUUAGCCCAGAGCCUGCCUAGGAGCAGUUCUGUAGUGAUUCAUUAACAAUAUCUAAUCUUACUGUAACAUUAGGCAGAGAGCACUUUUCCGAGCAAGAGCAAAUGGAGUCUAGUUCUGUCCCUCCCUUUGCCUUGAAUCCAGAUUUCAGAGAGUGAUUCAUCCUAAGUCCUGCUUCUCCCUGUAUGGCAUGUGAACCCAUCCGGAUUCCUGGAAACUGCAUUCUAGUUGUUUAUCUCAGCAGGCUGAGCCGUGACCAAAGGCUCAUGACUACUAUCUCAAAAACAGUUCCAGAAGCUGGGAAGUUCAAGAUCCAAGUGCUGGCAUCUGGUGAGAGCUUUUGUGCUACAUCAGCUCACGGCAGAAGGUGGAAGGGCAGGCCCUGUGACAGCUGCACUCACAGACUAUGGCAGAAGUGA